rnacentral:ribozyme from 1 species
AUAAUCCGCAAGGCCAUCUGCUCUUACCAGAUAUCGGUGCAAGCCCGAUAGGAGAGGGUAAAAUCUCUCCUGGUGCUCAUGGAUCCAUA